rnacentral:rRNA from 1 species
UCCGUAGGCGGGCAAUUAGGUCAGAGGUGAAAUCCCACAGCUCAACUGUGGAACUGCCUUUGAUACUGGUUGUCUUGAGUUAUAGUGAAGUAGAUAGAAUAUGUAGUGUAGCGGUGAAAUGCAUAGAUAUUACAUAGAAUACCGAUUGCGAAGGCAGUCUACUAACUGUAUACUGACGCUAAUGGACGAAAGCGUGGGGAGCGAACAGGAUUAGAUACCCUGGUAGUCC